rnacentral:rRNA from 1 species
AACGAACGCUGGCGGCGUGCCUAACACAUGCAAGUCGUGCGAGAAAGUUCCUUCGGGAGCGAGUAAAGCGGCGCACGGGUGAGUAACACGUAGGUAACCUGCCCCCCAGUCUGGAACAACUAGAGGAAACUCUAGCUAAUGCCGGAUGAGACCACGAUCCCUUCGGGGUUGCGGCCAAAGAUGGCCUCUACUUGUAAGCUAUCGCUGAGGGAUGGGCCUGCGGGCCAUUAGCUUGUUGGUGAGGUAACGGCUCACCAAGGCCCGUGAUGGCUAGCUGGUCUGAGAGGAUGACCAGCCACACUGGGACUGAGACACGGCCCAGACUCCUACGGGAGCAGCAGUGGGAAUAUUGCGCAAUGGGCGAAAGCCUGACGCAGCGACGCCGCGUGGGUGAUGAA